GUGCCCCUCUGAAAAGAAAUGUGAACUUUAUGAAAAAAACUUGUCUCCAAUGUCUCCAGGGGCAGAGCGGGUUGAAAGAAUGCACUGAUUCACCUUAAUCCUUUAAAAUCCUUUGUGUGACAGUGAUGUGAUAUGCUAAUGACUUGUCUCCUUCUGCCCUAGGUGACAGAGUACCUGAACAGUCAAGAAUCUGCCAAGAGUGCCAGGCUCAACAUUUGGCGCUACGGAGACUUCCGUGCAGACGAUGCUGAUGAGUUUGGUUACAGCCGUUAAAAAAAAGAAGAAAAAAAUAAAGAAGUGAAAAAAUAAAAUCGACCAUCCAAUCAACACCAUUCCAAAGACCAACAUGGACGGCAAGUGACGCAUUGGACGGAAGACAGAGUAAAGAAAUGACAAAAAGCUAAACGACAAGCAUUGACUCACUCUUCCUCUUUAUUUGACAUUUCAUCCCUCUAGUCCUGACUUCUCCUCUGUGAAUACCAUUUCUUUUUUUUUUCAGCUACCCACUGUAGCUCCAACUAGAGCAUGCUAGCAAAAAAAGAAAAAAAUUAAUCAUGCAAGAAUCAUUUUCCAUUCAUCCUUGAUUUUCCUAAUGGGCCACUGCCAGCUCAAGCAGCCUGCACUAUUGCCAAUCUGUGUUACUUGCCAUGUUACCCUUUCAGCAGACUUCCUGUGUGAAUGAUAAUUAUGAUACUUACAUAUGAGUUUCGGCCAAUCAUGUUCCUUGUUCUCUGAUGCUCUUGUCCAAUCCCUGCUUUCCUCUGUACAGGAAGGGACUGGGUGUUUGGGGGAGAAUGCUCAACUAUUUGCAAACAAAUGCUUCCCUAAUGAAUUUCAUGUAAAUGUGAGGAUAUGUUGAAAAGUGUAAAUGGAUUUAUUUUAGAGACAUACUGUAGGUGGAGCCACACAGACAAAAAAAAAGGACAAGUUUAUUUUUGUCUUCAGUGUAUAUCUGUGUGAUGAUGACAUUUGCGGAUGUUUUUGUGGGGAGUGUUUUGUCGUUUAUUCACUAUGUCACACUUUUAUGACCGGUAAAUAUGGACGCCAUUGUGUGGCAUUUUAUCAUCAAUCUCCUGUAAAGUUUACAUUCUAAUAAUGGUUAUGAUCCUGUCUCUGGCAGUCUCUUCUCUUUCUGUCUCUGUAUGCCAUAGCAGAAACAGUGUUUGAAUUUAUUUCCACAUAAUGGACCUUUGCAUUCUAUUAAAAAUCUGCUGAAUAAAAAUAAGCAAACUAAAA